UUAAGCGACCAAGCGUACACGGUGGAUGCCCUGGCAGUCAGAGGCGAUGAAGGACGUGCUAAUCUGCGAAAAGCGCCGGUAAGGUGAUAUGAACCGUUAUAACCGGCGAUGUCCGAAUGGGGAAACCCAGUGUGACUCGUCACACUAUCAUUAACUGAAUCCAUAGGUUAAUGAGGCGAACCGGGGGAACUGAAACAUCUAAGUACCCCGAGGAAAAGAAAUCAACCGAGAUUCCCCCAGUAGCGGCGAGCGAACGGGGAGGAGCCCAGAGCCUGAAUCAGCAUGUGUGUUAGUGGAAGCGUCUGGAAAGGCGCGCGAUACAGGGUGACAGCCCCGUACACAAAAGCGCAUGUGCUGUGAGCUCGAUGAGUAGGGCGGGACACGUGGUAUCCUGUCUGAAUAUGGGGGGACCAUCCUCCAAGGCUAAAUACUCCUGACUGACCGAUAGUGAACCAGUACCGUGAGGGAAAGGCGAAAAGAACCCCAGCGAGGGGAGUGAAAAAGAACCUGAAACCGUGUACGUACAAGCAGUGGGAGCCUCUUUUAUGGGGUGACUGCGUACCUUUUGUAUAAUGGGUCAGCGACUUAUAUUCUGUAGCAAGGUUAACCGAAUAGGGGAGCCGGAGGGAAACCGAGUCUUAACCGGGCGUUAAGUUGCAGGGUAUAGACCCGAAACCCGGUGAUCUAGCCAUGGGCAGGUUGAAGGUUGGGUAACACUAACUGGAGGACCGAACCGACUAAUGUUGAAAAAUUAGCGGAUGACCUGUGGCUGGGGGUGAAAGGCCAAUCAAACCGGGAGAUAGCUGGUUCUCCCCGAAAGCUAUUUAGGUAGCGCCUCGUGAAUUCAUCUCCGGGGGUAGAGCACUGUUUCGGCCAGGGGGCCAUCCCGGCUUACCAACCCGAUGCAAACUGCGAAUACCGGAGAAUGUUAUCACGGGAGACACACGGCGGGUGCUAACGUCCGUCGUGAAGAGGGAAACAACCCAGACCGCCAGCUAAGGUCCCAAAGUCAUGGUUAAGUGGGAAACGAUGUGGGAAGGCCCAGACAGCCAGGAUGUUGGCUUAGAAGCAGCCAUCAUUUAAAGAAAGCGUAAUAGCUCACUGGUCGAGUCGGCCUGCGCGGAAGAUGUAACGGGGCUAAACCAUGCACCGAAGCUGCGGCAGCGACACUGUGUGUUGUUGGGUAGGGGAGCGUUCUGUAAGCCUGCGAAGGUGUGCUGUGAGGCAUGCUGGAGGUAUCAGAAGUGCGAAUGCUGACAUAAGUAACGAUAAUGCGGGUGAAAAACCCGCACGCCGGAAGACCAAGGGUUCCUGUCCAACGUUAAUCGGGGCAGGGUGAGUCGACCCCUAAGGCGAGGCCGAAAGGCGUAGUCGAUGGGAAACGGGUUAAUAUUCCCGUACCUGGUGUUACUGCGAAGGGGGGACGGAGAAGGCUAUGUUGGCCGGGCGACGGUUGUCCCGGUUUAAGCGUGUAGGUGUGUGUUCCAGGAAAAUCCGGUUCACUUUAACACUGAGGCGUGACGACGAGGCACUACGGUGCUGAAGCAACAAAUGCCCUGCUUCCAGGAAAAGCCUCUAAGCCUCAGGUAACAUCAGAUCGUACCCGAAACCGACACAGGUGGUCAGGUAGAGAAUACCAAGGCGCUUGAGAGAACCCGGGUGAAGGAACUAGGCAAAAUGGUGCCGUAACUUCGGGAGAAGGCACGCUGACACGUAGGUGAAGCGGUUUACCCGUGGAGCUGAAGUCAGUCGAAGAUACCAGCUGGCUGCAACUGUUUAUUAAAAACACAGCACUGUGCAAACACGAAAGUGGACGUAUACGGUGUGACGCCUGCCCGGUGCCGGAAGGUUAAUUGAUGGGGUCAGCGCAAGCGAAGCUCCUGAUCGAAGCCCCGGUAAACGGCGGCCGUAACUAUAACGGUCCUAAGGUAGCGAAAUUCCUUGUCGGGUAAGUUCCGACCUGCACGAAUGGCGUAAUGAUGGCCAGGCUGUCUCCACCCGGGACUCAGUGAAAUUGAACUCGCUGUGAAGAUGCAGUGUACCCGCGGCAAGACGGAAAGACCCCGUGAACCUUUACUAUAGCUUGACACUGAACACUGGUCCUUGAUGUGCAGGAUAGGUGGGAGGCUUUGAAGUGUGGACGCCAGUCUGCAUGGAGCCGUCCUUGAAAUACCACCCUUUAAUGGCUGGUGUUCUAACGUAGACCCGUGAACCGGGUUGCGGACAGUGUCUGGUGGGUAGUUUGACUGGGGCGGUCUCCUCCUAAAGCGUAACGGAGGAGCACGAAGGUUGGCUAAUCCUGGUCGGACAUCAGGAGGUUAGUGCAAUGGCAUAAGCCAGCUUGACUGCGAGCGUGACGGCGCGAGCAGGUGCGAAAGCAGGUCAUAGUGAUCCGGUGGUUCUGAAUGGAAGGGCCAUCGCUCAACGGAUAAAAGGUACUCCGGGGAUAACAGGCUGAUACCGCCCAAGAGUUCAUAUCGACGGCGGUGUUUGGCACCUCGAUGUCGGCUCAUCACAUCCUGGGGCUGAAGUAGGUCCCAAGGGUAUGGCUGUUCGCCAUUUAAAGUGGUACGCGAGCUGGGUUUAGAACGUCGUGAGACAGUUCGGUCCCUAUCUGCCGUGGGCGCUGGAGAACUGAGGGGGGCUGCUCCUAGUACGAGAGGACCGGAGUGGACGCAUCACUGGUGUUCGGGUUGUCAUGCCAAUGGCACUGCCCGGUAGCUAAAUGCGGAAGAGAUAAGUGCUGAAAGCAUCUAAGCACGAAACUUGCCCCGAGAUGAGUUCUCCCUGAGACUACAAGUCUCCUGAAGGAACGUUGAAGACGACGACGUUGAUAGGCCGGGUGUGUAAGCGCAGCGAUGCGUUGAGCUAACCGGUACUAAUGAACCGUGAGGCUUAACCUU
rnacentral:rRNA from 1 species